rnacentral:rRNA from 1 species
UACGUAGGAUGCAAGCGUUGUCCGGAAUUACUGGGCGUAAAGAGUACGUAGGCGGUAAAAUAAGUCUGCUAUUAAAGACCGGGGCUUAACUUCGGGAGUGUAGUGGAAACUGUUUUGCUAGAGGACAAUAGAGGAAGUCGGAAUUCUCAGUGUAGCGGUGAAAUGCGUAGAUAUUCGCAAGAACACCAGUGGCGAAGGCGGCUCACUGGUCCGGUUCUGACGCUGAGGCGCGAAAGCGUGGGGAGCAAACAGG